UACCCAGGUUUGACCAGCAGGCGGAGGGCAGAGCUGGGAUUCAGACUCAGGUCUUUGGCCGCCUCACAGGUGCGCCUCGGAGCCCCAGCUGUGACCUGGCCUGGCCCGUCCCCCCUGUGGCCGUGGGAGCCAGACAGUGAGUGCUCUCUCCCCUACAGGCUUCAUCCCCCCUCCUCUCAUCUUCGGAGCUGGCAUCGACUCCACCUGCCUGUUCUGGAGCACGUUCUGUGGGGAGCAGGGCGCCUGCGUCCUCUACGACAACGUGGUCUACCGCCACCUGUACGUCAGCAUCGCCAUCGCGCUCAAGUCCUUCGCCUUCCUGCUCUACACCACCACCUGGCAGUGCCUGCGGAAGAACUACAAACGCUACAUCAAGAACCACGAGGGCGGCCUGAGCACCAAGCCAGACGGCAUUCAGAAUGAGGAGAGCUUGGGACCACGUGUCUGACGCGUGACCUACCCGCUCUGGGAUCCAGCGCGGGGUCUCAGGAUGCCGACAGCUGCAAGCAACGGGCACUGCCAAGUUCAGGGAACCGUGGUGGCCAGCUCGGAGGACGGACAUUCCUGAACACACAUACAGCAUACAGACAAAAGACAACUAUUUUUAAAGAAAGUCUACUAAAACCACACGUUGACAACAUGGCCAGGAAAAGCACUAGUGACACCCCGAGCCCCUCCUCCCGUGGGGGCGGGGGGCGUGCAGGCGGGAGGGCAGCCCCCCCUCUCUAACUUUCGCAAUAUGGGUCACUGUGUAGACGCCUCACCCGGUCUGCAUGUGGUUCAAGGCCCGAGCUCUCUCAGCGAUGCUAACGGGUGAUCCGUGCUGGAGUCUGUAAUUGGCACCUCUCACCAGCUCCAUUUCCAUGUUCACGACCGAGGGCCCGAGGGGCCGGGUGCAGGGCCAGCACCUCACCUGCCCCCGGAGCGCCUCCCAGGGGCGGGGCCCAGCCCCGCAGAGCGACCUCAGGAAGCAGGGGCCUCACUGGCUAUGACUGGCUCCUCUCAGAGCCGGUGAAACCCAACCCAGCCCAAGUCAUUUGCUUACAUUUGCCAAACAUUUUGCCAUUUUUUAAAAAAAAUAAUGCAAUGCCUAUGAAUUUCCAACUGUUGUAUGUAUAACCCUCUGAUACUAUUUUUAACGACUGAACCUGUGUUACCCUCCAGUCACUGACACAGUUCUUAGGCCGGAUUUCCUACGCUGGUGGCUUUCACUUUCUCCCUUUUUUAAUGCACCAAAAAUACAAUGUGAUUCAAGGGAUGA